rnacentral:rRNA from 1 species
UACGGGGGGGGCAAGCGUUGUUCGGAAUUACUGGGCGUAAAGGGCUCGUAGGCGGCCAACUAAGUCGGAUGUGAAAUCCCCAGGCUCAACUUGGGAACUGCAUCCGAUACUGGAUGGCUAGAGGUUGGGAGAGGGAUGCGGAAUUCCCGGUGUAGUGGUGGAAUGCGUAGAUAUCGGGAGGAACACCAGUGGCGAAGGCGGUUGCCUGGAGCUUUGCUGACGCUGAUGCGCGAAAGCGUGGGGAGCGAUCCGG